UGAGGAAUAUUGGACAAUGGGUGAGAGCCUGAUCCAGCCAUCCCNCGAGAAGGACGACGUCCCUAUGGGUUGUAAACUUCUUGGAUACAGGGAUAAACCUUUCCACGUGAGGAAAGCUGAAGGUACUGUAAGAAUAAGCACCGGCUAACUCCCUGCCAGCACCCGCGGUAAUACGGAGGGAGCAAGCGUUAUCCGGAUUUAUUGGGUUUAAAGGGUCCGUAGGCGGAUCCGUAAGUCAGUGGUGAAAUCUCAUAGCUCAACUAUGAACCUGCCAUUGAUACUGCGGGUCUUGAGUAAGGUAGAAGUAGCUGGAAUAAGUAGUGUAGCGGUGAAAUGCAUAGAUAUUACUUAGACCACCAAUUGCGAAGNCAGGUUAUCUAUGUCUUAACUGACGCUGAUGGACGAAAGCGUGGGGAGCGAACAGGAUUAGNUACCCUGGUNGUCCACGCCGUAAACGAUGCUAACUCGUUUUUGGGCUUUCGGGCUCAGAGACUCAGCGAAACGGAAAAGCAAGCCACCUGGGAGACGACGCAAGU
rnacentral:rRNA from 1 species